CAGGAUGAACGCUAGCGGCAGGCUUAACACAUGCAAGUCGAGGGGUAACGACUCCGUCUUCGGAUGGAGGUCGACGACCGGCGCACGGGUGAGUAACGCGUAUGCAACCUACCUUUUACAGGAGGAUAGCCCAGAGAAAUUUGGAUUAAUACUCCAUAGUACUAAUGAAUCACCUGGUUUAUUAGUUAAAACUCCGGUGGUAAAAGAUGGGCAUGCGUGUCAUUAGCUAGUUGGUAAGGUAACGGCUUACCAAGACGAAGAUGACUAGGGGUUCUGAGAGGAAGAUCCCCCACACUGGUACUGAGACACGGACCAGACUCCUACGGGAGGCAGCAGUGAGGAAUAUUGGUCAAUGGGUGAGAGCCUGAACCAGCCAUGCCGCGUGAAGGAAGACUGCCCUAUGGGUUGUAAACUUCUUUUCUGCAGGAAGAAAUCACUCUACGUGUAGGGUGUUGCCGGUACUGCAGGAAUAAGCAUCGGCUAACUCCGUGCCAGCAGCCGCGGUAAUACGGAGGAUGCAAGCGUUAUCCGGAUUUAUUGGGUUUAAAGGGUGCGUAGGCGGGCUUGUAAGUCAGUGGUGAAAUGCUGUGGCUUAACCAUAGAAUUGCCAUUGAAACUGCAAGUCUUGAGUACAGUUGAGGUGGGCGGAAUGAGUAAUGUAGCGGUGAAAUGCAUAGAUAUUACUCAGAACUCCGAUUGCGUAGGCAGCUUGCUAAACUGUAACUGACGCUGAUGCACGAAAGCGUGGGGAGCGAACAGGGUUAGAUACCCUGGUAGUCCACGCUGUAAACGAUGAGCACUGGUUGUUGGCAAUACACCGUCAGCGACUGAGCGAAAGUAUUAAGUGCUCCACCUG
rnacentral:rRNA from 1 species